UCCGGUUUGACACCGGCAGUCUCGCUAGAGUUCCCGGCAUUACCCGCUGGCAACUAGCAACAGGGGUUGCGCUCGUUGAGGGACUUAACCCGACACUUCACAGCACGAGCUGACGACAGCCAUGCAGCACCUGUGCACGUUCCACCCGAGGGCGUCAUCCCACUUUCAUGGAACUAAUCCGUGCAUGUCAAGCCCAGGAUAAGGUUCUUCGCGUUGCUUCGAAUUAAGCAACAUGCUCCACCGCUUGUGUGAGCCCCCGUCAAUUCCUUUGAGUUUUAGCCUUGCGACCGUACUCCCCAGGCGGCGCACUUAAUGUUUUUACGGCGACCGAGACCGCGUCAGAGCGGCCCCGAUCUAGUGCGCAUCGUUUACGGCGUGGACUAC
rnacentral:misc_RNA from 1 species